AUUUAAUUUUUUAUUUUCAUAAUUAAUUUAUUAAUUAAGUAAUUUAAAAAUAUUGUAUAAUUAUAUCUCUCAAACUCGAUUAGUCGCCGCCGCUGCCGAGGCAAGUUCCGACGAAUGGUAGCUAUUCACGCUCUUCCGACGACAUCGGUUGCCGCGAUCUCGCCUCUCCUGUUCUUCUCUGUUCGGUACAGCCCAGCCGUCGCCAUCUCAGGCAGACCGGCGAGCUGCGCGACCUAGAGUCCGCCCAUCGCUGCUGGUGGUUCGAGGAUCGGCGAGCCGAUGGUGUUCUACGGCCGGUUCUCUUCUCAACUCCACAUAAUCGAGGUAGUAAAGGGGGAAAGGCCUAAUUCUCCUCUCAUCCUCCAUCUGCCGUUUCGGCCGUGAGCUUCCGGUGAGGCCGCCGCUGAUUUAUUUUACUGCAUUAGGUUUUAUACUAAAAAGCAUCAUCUCAAUAAGAGGAACGAGUAGCACACAAGAAUUAACCACGUAGUGCCAACUGCAAAGCUACAUAAAGCACAAACGGAGAUGUAGUGGGGAUGUGCUAUACGAUCAGAAUUAUUUUGUUGGUUGGGCGGAGUCGGAGGAGAUGGGAGGAGGAUGCAGAUUGCUCAUGGAUUAGGAGCGUCCAUGGCUGAGCCGUGGUUAAUUGGCUGCUCAUGCAGAUUUAUCUAGUACUUCUUAAAUAAAUCCCCCGUUGAUGAUAUGGAAGGCGUUGAUGUGUAGAACAGAAGUGAAUCCCCCGUUGUUCUUUCCGAAAGUAUGAAACCUGGAUUUGCUAGGGACGAAUGCAAACAAGUGUCAAAAGAAGGACAAAAUUUGAGAUUAGAUCUGUCAAAUAAGUUUCAAGAUGUUUUCUGAUACUCCCUCCGUCCACCAAAAAUAUGUCACUUUACUUUCGGCACGGAUUUUAAUAAAAUGUGAGUGAAAUUGGUAGUGGAGUAAGGGUCCCACUUUAAAUGUGAGUGGAAUGGUGUGGACCCUACUACUAAAAAUGGAUGUGGCAUAUUUUUUGUGGACGAACGAAAAAGGAAAUUGUGGCAUAUUUUUGGUGGACGGAGGGAGUAUAUUGUAAAGCUCCUACCCAGUUACGAGUAUUUUGUAUGAGUAUUUUGUGAUCUGGAGAUAAUGUAUGAAUAUUUUGGAUGUUAUAUAAUACUCCCUCCGUCCCGCCCAAGAUGCUACAUAUUUCUUUUCGGGCCGUCCCAACAAAGAUGCUACAUUUCUAUAUUUGGCAAAAAUAAGGAAUUUAAACACUUAAUUAACACUAAUUAAAUAUUUCUUUAUUAUCUUC